CUGGGCAGCCUGUGCCAGGGCUUGGCAACUCUUUUGGGUUAAAACAUAUUCCCCACUGCAGUCAGAGAGGGGAUAAAAUGUGGAGGCAGGGAAGAGGAAGCCUAAUGGGUUACGUGCCACGGAAUGGCCCUUCCUCCUUGUUGAGGUUAAACAAGUUGCUCUCCAGCAGCUUCAUGCUUUGCCACUGUGGUUUCAGGGGAGGUCUGCAGCUGUGUGCUCCUCAAAGGGGGUUCAGCAGCUCAGGAAAGAUGAGCAGUACUUCACAACAAGGGGUGAGC